rnacentral:misc_RNA from 1 species
GAAGUGCGAUAAGUGUCAUGACUUGCAGAUCCCCGAGAGCUGACAAAUUUCUGAAUGCAAAUGGCGGCCAACUCACCGUUGGUCAUGUAUUGCAGAGUGUAGUUGUUCAUACUCAUCAUCCUCCUGAAUAUUUACUGUUCUGGAGGGAUCUGCGCUUGUUGGGUUCUUUCCCAUGCGAGCGUGAAAAGUCAGAGUGGAUGCUUCCCUCAGGGGUAGGCAUCCAACUUCGGAGUUGUUUCUUUAGAAGUUCACCGUACUCUGUCUGUGAUCCCAUAAGGGCUCAUAGAGCAUUUCUCCUAUUCACCUCUGCAAUGCAGGAAAACCCGCUGAACUUAA